rnacentral:tRNA from 2 species
AGGACCGCCAGCGGGAAGGCGAUCAGCACGCCGAUCACGACGGCGGCCGCGGUGAUCCCGAUGUGCUGGAGGGUCGCGUCCACCAGGUCCUG